rnacentral:lncRNA from 1 species
GGAGAUUUGGUGAGAGAAGGGAAACCACAGAGGACUUCUGAGUGAAGUGCAUUGAAAACACAGCCCUUGUCUUGCAGGAGGAGGAACUUCGGUAUGAUGAAACGCUGUACCAAGAAACAGGAGACCUACAUACAACUUGAAGGUUCUCUAAUCUUCUCCUGGAGCCUCUGCAUUCCCCCACUAGAGUAACUGUAACUCAUAGAAACUACAGCAAAAUGCCGCAUGUUCCACUCCACUAUCCAUCCUUUCACAGAUUCUUAGUCCCCACCUCCAAUUUCCUCACAGACGUGCCUCCACACAGAGGUGAAACAAAUUGUCUGAAGAGCAAGGAUACGGUGUUCUGCCCCCGAGGUGCUCCAAAGGACCUGUCCAAGCACCUGCCUUCUGCCUUGAUGUGA